GCCAGCGUGGGGUAGUGGUUUCAGCAUCAGACUAUGACUCUGGAGACCAGGGUUUGAAUCCCAGCUCAGCCA
rnacentral:tRNA from 1 species